GUGUCUCCAGUGGACACGACAUCAUCAACACUGGACAAAUGAGGAGUUGAAAAACAUGUCUGAUGUCAACGGUACAGCUGGUGGCAGAGUCAGGGAUUUGGACCCAUCCUGUCUGGUGUCAACGGUACAGCUGGUGGCAGAGUCAGGGAUUUGGACCCAUCCUGUCUGGUGUCAACGGUACAGCUGGUGGCAGAGUCAGGGAUUUGGACCCAUCCUGUCUGGUGUCAACGGUACAGCUGGUGGCAGAGUCAGGGAUUUGGACCCAUCCUGUCUGGUGUCAACGGUACAGCUGGUGGCAGAGUCAGGGAUUUGGACCCAUCCUGUCUGGUGUCAACGGUACAGUUGGUGGCAGAGUCAGGGAUUUGGACCCAUCCUGUCUGGUGUCAACGGUACAGCUGGUGGCAGAGUCAGGAUUUGGACCCAUCCUGCCUGGUGUCAACGGUACAGCUGGUGGCAGAGUCAGGGAUUUGGACCCAUCCUGUCUGGUGUCAACGGUACAGCUGGUGGCAGAGUCAGGGAUUUGGACCCAUCCUGUCUGGUGUCAACGGUACAGUUGGUGGCAGAGUCAGGGAUUUGGACCCAUCCUGUCUGGUGUCAACGGUACAGCUGGUGGCAGAGUCAGGAUUUGGACCCAUCCUGCCUGGUGUCAACGGUACAGCUGGUGGCAGAGUCAGGGAUUUGGACCCAUCCUGUCUGGUGUCAACGGUACAGCUGGUGGCAGAGUCAGGGAUUUGGACCCAUCCUGUCUGGUGUCAACGGUACAGCUGGUGGCAGAGUCAGGGAUUUGGACCCAUCCUGUCUGGUGUCAACGGUACAGCUGGUGGCAGAGUCAGGGAUUUGGACCCAUCCUGUCUGGUGUCAACGGUACAGCUGGUGGCAGAGUCAGGGAUUUGGACCCAUCCUGUCUGGUGUCAACGGUACAGCUGAUGGCAGAGUCAGGGAUUUGGACCCAUCCUGUCUGGUGUCAACGGUACAGCUGGUGGCAGAGUCAGGGAUUUGGACCCAUCCUGUCUGGUGUCAACGGUACAGCUGGUGGCAGAGUCAGGGAUUUGGACCCAUCCUGUCUGGUGUCAACGGUACAGCUGGUGGCAGAGUCAGGGAUUUGGACCCAUCCUGUCUGGUGUCAACGGUACAGCUGGUGGCAGAGUCAGGGAUUUGGACCCAUCCUGUCUGGUGUCAACGGUACGGCUGGUGGCAGAGUCAGGGAUUUGGACCCAUCCUGUCUGGUGUCAACGGUACGGCUGGUGGCAGAGUCAGGGAUUUGGACCCAUCCUGUCUGGUGUCAACGGUACAGCUGGUGGCAGAGUCAAGGAUUUGGACCCAUCCUGUCUGGUGUCAACGGUACAGCUGGUGGCAGAGUCAAGGAUUUGGACCCAUCCUGUCUGGUGUCAACGGUACAGCUGGUGGCAGAGUCAGGGAUUUGGACCCAUCCUGUCUGGUGUCAACGGUACAGCUGGUGGCAGAGUCAGGGAUUUGGACCCAUCCUGUCUGGUGUCAACGGUACAGCUGGUGGCAGAGUCAGGGAUUUGGACCCAUCCUGUCUGGUGUCAACGGUACAGCUGAUGGCAGAGUCAGGGAUUUGGACCCAUCCUGUCUGGUGUCAACGGUACAGCUGGUGGCAGAGUCAGGGAUUUGGACCCAUCCUGUCUGGUGUCAACGGUACAGCUGGUGGCAGAGUCAGGGAUUUGGACCCAUCCUGUCUGGUGUCAACGGUACAGCUGGUGGCAGAGUCAGGGAUUUGGACCCAUCCUGUCUGGUGUCAACGGUACAGCUGGUGGCAGAGUCAGGGAUUUGGACCCAUCCUGUCUGGUGUCAACGGUACAGCUGGUGGCAGAGUCAGGGAUUUGGACCCAUCCUGUCUGGUGUCAACGGUACAGCUGGUGGCAGAGUCAGGGAUUUGGACCCAUCCUGUCUGGUGUCAACGGUACAGCUGGUGGCAGAGUCAGGGAUUUGGACCCAUCCUGUCUGGUGUCAACGGUACAGCUGGUGGCAGAGUCAGGGAUUUGGACCCAUCCUGUCUGGUGUCAACGGUACAGCUGGUGGCAGAGUCAGGGAUUUGGACCCAUCCUGUCUGGUGUCAACGGUACAGCUGGUGGCUGUGGUGGAAUGGUGUGGGGAGUGUUUUCCUGGCACACGUUAAUGUCCCUUGAUACCAGUUGAGCAACGUGUUCAUGCCCCAAAGAAUUCAGGCCGCAUCAUCUCUGAAACAUCGCUGUCCGAGCUCAAUAGAACGUUUUUGGGAUGAGAUCAACAUCCCUGUAGAACGUUUCUGACACCUUGUAGAAUCCACACCCUGAAGAAUUCAGGCUGUUCUGGAUAAGUGUUUCCUUAAUAAACUGACCAGGGUGUGUAUCUGUGACUUGUAGGAUCCACACCCCAAAUAAUUCAGGCUGUUCUGGAUAAGUGUUUCCUAAUGAACCGACCAGGGUGUGUAUCUGUGACGAGAAUGAGCUUGUGUUGUGUGUGUGUGUGUGUGUGUGUAUAUGUGUGUGUGUGUGUGUGUGUGUGACCUCCGCACCACCAGGUGGAGCUGCUGUGCUCCGAUGGCGAAGCGGCGCGGCGGGGUGGGCGUGGCUACCUGGAACGGUUUCCUGUACGCUAUUGGAGGACAUGACGCUCCCGCCUCCAGCCUGGCAUCACGACUCAGCGAUUGUGUGGAGAGGUACGACCCCCAGACGGAUGCGUGGACGGCGGUAGCCCCCAUGAGUAUCAGUCGUGACGCUGUUGGUGUGUGUCUCCUUGGAGACCGUCUCUAUGCGGUCGGUGGUUACGAUGGAACGGUGUACCUGAACACUGUCGAGGCCUACGAUCCCCAGACCAACGAGUGGACACAGGUGGCUCCACUGUGUCUGGGCCGGGCUGGGGCCUGUGUGGUGGCCGUCAAACUGUGAACACUCUUUGGACCCUCCCCAUUCUUCCUUGUCUCCAGGGUUACCACCAAUGUGAUGACGUUUACCUCUUAACAUUCCACUAAAACCAGGAAGACAUUAUAGACAUUGAGUUGGAGAGGAGAUUACUGACUACAGAUUGAAGAGCUCUCUCUGUCUCUCUCUGUCUCUCUGUCUGUCUCUCUCUCUGUCUCUCUCUCUGUCUCUCUGUCUGUCUCUCUCUCUGUCUCUCUCUCUGUCUCUCUCU